UAACUCGGUGUGUUCGGAGUCCGUGUGU
rnacentral:sRNA from 1 species